GAUGAACGCUGGCGGCGUGCCUAAUACAUGCAAGUCGAGCGAACAGACGAGGAGCUUGCUCCUCUGCCGUUAGCGGCGGACGGGUGAGUAACACGUGGAUAACCUACCUAUAAGACUGGGAUAACUUCGGGAAACCGGAGCUAAUACCGGAUCAUAUAUUGAACCGCAUGGUUCAAUAGUUAAAGACGGUUUUGCUGUCACUUAUAGCUGGAUCCGCGCCGCAUUAGCUAGUUGGUAAGGUAACGGCUUACCAAGGCAACGAUGCGUAGCCGACCUGAGAGGGUGAUCGGCCACACUGGAACUGAGACACGGUCCAGACUCCUACGGGAGGCAGCAGUAGGGAAUCUUCCGCAAUGGGCGAAAGCCUGACGGAGCAACGCCGCGUGAGUGAUGAAGGUCUUCGGAUCGUAAAACUCUGUUAUUAGGGAAGAACAAAUGUGUAAGUAACUAUGCACGUCUUGACGGUACCUAAUCAGAAAGCCACGGCUAACUACGUG
rnacentral:rRNA from 1 species